UACAGAGGGUGCAAGCGUUAAUCGGAAUUACUGGGCGUAAAGCGUGCGUAGACGGUUAUGUAAGUUAGGUGUGAAAGCCCCGGGCUCAACCUGGGAAUUGCAUUUAAGACUGCAUAGCUAGGGUGCGGAAGAGGGAAGCGGAAUUUCCGGUGUAGCGGUGAAAUGCGUAGAUAUCGGGAGGAACACCGGUGGCGUAGGCGGCGGCCUGGGUUGACACUGACGCUGAGGCACGAAAGCGUGGGGAGCAAACAGG
rnacentral:rRNA from 1 species